rnacentral:rRNA from 1 species
AACGCUAGCUACAGGCUUAACACAUGCAAGUCGCGGGGCAUCAUGAAUUUAGCUUGCUAAGUUUGAUGGCGACCGGCGCACGGGUGAGUAACGCGUAUCCAACCUUCCUCUCUCCACGGGAUAGCCCGUCGAAAGGCGGAUUAAUACCGUAUGCGGUCACCAGAUGGCAUCAGAAAGUGACGAAAGGUUUGGCGGAGGGAGAUGGGGAUGCGUCCGAUUAGCUUGUUGGCGGGGUAACGGCCCACCAAGGCGACGAUCGGUAGGGGUUCUGAGAGGAAGGUCCCCCACAUUGGAACCGAGACACGGUCCAAACUCCUACGGGAGGCAGCAGUGAGGAAUAUUGGUCAAUGGACGGAAGUCUGAACCAGCCAAGUAGCGUGCAGGAUGACGGCCCUAUGGGUUGUAAACUGCUUUUAUGCGGGGAUAAAGUGGGCUACGUGUAGCCUAUUGCAGGUACCGCAUGAAUAAGGACCGGCUAAUUCCGUGCCAGCAGCCGCGGUAAUACGGAAGGUCCGGGCGUUAUCCGGAUUUAUUGGGUUUAAAGGGAGCGUAGGCCGCCUAUUAAGCGUGUUGUGAAAUGUCCUGGCUCAACCUGGGCACUGCAGCGCGAACUGGAGGCCUUGAGUGCGCACGACGGCGGCGGAAUUCGUGGUGUAGCGGUGAAAUGCUUAGAUAUCACGAAGAACUCCGAUUG